AGUGAACGCUGGCGGUAGGCCUAACACAUGCAAGUCGAACGGCAGCACAGUAAUAGCUUGCUCUUACGGGUGGCGAGUGGCGGACGGGUGAGGAAUACAUCGGAAUCUACUUUUUCGUGGGGGAUAACGUAGGGAAACUUACGCUAAUACCGCAUACGACCUACGGUUGAAAGCAGGGGAUCUUCGGACCUUGCGCGAUUGAAUGCGCCGAUGUCGGAUUAGCUAGUUGGCGGGGUAAAGGCCCACCAAGGCGACGAUCCGUAGCUGGUCUGAGAGGAUGAUCAGCCACACUGGAACUGAGACACGGUCCAGACGCCUACGGGAGGCAGCAGUGGGGAAUAUUGGACAAUGGGCGCAAGCCUGAUCCAGCCAUACCGCGUGGGUGAAGAAGGCCUUCGGGUUGUAAAGCCCUUUUGUUGGGAAAGAAAAGCAGCAGGUUAAUACCCCGCUGUUCUGACGGUACCCAAAGAAUAAGCACCGGCUAACUUCGUG
rnacentral:rRNA from 1 species